rnacentral:sRNA from 1 species
ACUACAGGUGUGCACCACCACAGCUGGCUAAUUCUAUUUUUUUAUAGAGGCGAAGUCUCACUAUGUCGCCAGGCUGGUCUCUAACUCCUGGGCUCAGUGAUCCUCCCGUUUCGACUUCCCAAAGUGCUGGGAUUACAGGUGUGAGCCACUUCACCAGGCCCAUUUUCUCCUAAAACAUCAAGGACAAAUCAUUAAUAAUGUAACAGGAAUCUUUAGGAGAAAAAACAAUUUGGUUUACUGAUAACAAAAGAUAAUUGGAAACAUGAGAGUAUUUGAGAUUGGCCAAGCAGAACUAUGAAGUCCAUCAAAAUUCAUACGAUGAAAUCUUCACUCUCAAGUUGAUAGAAGGUGGGGCCCUUGGGAAGUGUGAGGUCAUGAGAGUGGAGCCCUCAUGAAUGGGAUCAGUGCCUUAUGAAAGGCCCUAGAGAGAUACCUCAUCCUCUCCACAGUGUGAGACUUCAAGGGGGAAGUGUGAGACUUCUCUGAGGAAGCAGACCCUUCACAAGCAAAAUCAACCAGCACUUUGAUCACGGACUUCCCAGCCUCUAGGACUGUGAGCAAUAAAUGUUUGAUGUUUAUAAGCCA